CCUAAUACAUGCAGUCGAGCGAAUGGAUUGAGAGCUUGCUCUCAAGAAGUUAGCGGCGGACGGGUGAGUAACACGUGGGUAACCUGCCCAUAAGACUGGGAUAACUCCGGGAAACCGGGGCUAAUACCGGAUAACAUUUUGAACUGCAUGGUUCGAAAUUGAAAGGCGGCUUCGGCUGUCACUUAUGGAUGGACCCGCGUCGCAUUAGCUAGUUGGUGAGGUAACGGCUCACCAAGGCAACGAUGCGUAGCCGACCUGAGAGGGUGAUCGGCCACACUGGGACUGAGACACGGCCCAGACUCCUACGGGAGGCAGCAGUAGGGAAUCUUCCGCAAUGGACGAAAGUCUGACGGAGCAACGCCGCGUGAGUGAUGAAGGCUUUCGGGUCGUAAAACUCUGUUGUUAGGGAAGAACAAGUGCUAGUUGAAUAAGCUGGCACCUUGACGGUACCUAACCAGAAAGCCACGGCUAACUACGUGCCAGCAGCCGCGGUAAUACGUAGGUGGCAAGCGUUAUCCGGAAUUAUUGGGCGUAAAGCGCGCGCAGGUGGUUUCUUAAGUCUGAUGUGAAAGCCCACGGCUCAACCGUGGAGGGUCAUUGGAAACUGGGAGACUUGAGUGCAGAAGAGGAAAGUGGAAUUCCAUGUGUAGCGGUGAAAUGCGUAGAG
rnacentral:rRNA from 1 species